rnacentral:rRNA from 1 species
UACGUAGGGUGCGAGCGUUAAUCGGAAUUACUGGGCGUAAAGCGUGCGCAGGCGGUUCGUUAAGUUCGUUGUGAAAGCCCCGGGCUCAACCUGGGAAUUGCAUCUGUGACUGCAUCGCUAGAGUACGGUAGAGGGGGAUGGAAUUCCGCGUGUAGCAGUGAAAUGCGUAGAUAUGCGGAGGAACACCGAUGGCGAAGGCAAUCCCCUGGGCCUGCACUGACGCUCAUGCACGAAAGCGUGGGGAGCAAACAGG